CAGCAGCCGCGGGAACACAGAGGGUGCGAGCGUUAAUCGGAUUUACUGGGCGUAAAGCGUGCGUAGGCGGCUUUUUAAGUCGGAUGUGAAAUCCCUGAGCUUAACUUAGGAAUUGCAUUCGAUACUGGGAAGCUAGAGUAUGGGAGAGGAUGGUAGAAUUCCAGGUGUAGCGGUGAAAUGCGUAGAGAUCUGGAGGAAUACCGAUGGCGAAGGCAGCCAUCUGGCCUAAUACUGACGCUGAGGUACGAAAGCAUGGGGAGCAAACAGGAUUAGAGACCCGAGUAGUCCCUGUCUCUUAUAC
rnacentral:rRNA from 1 species